UCAGGAGUGAAGCUGCUGUCUGCUGGACUGGAGAGUCCACACUGCAGACUGGAGACUCUGAGAUGGCAGUGGUGAUCUCUAUCAGAAUGUGAGGAAUCAGAAAUGUGGUUGUGUUGAGAGGACCAGCUGUGUCCUGAUGAUCCAGAGGUUGAAGCAGCAGCUGGUGUGUGGAGAAGGCUCUGACUGGGCCAUGUUACUGGGAGGUGGAGUGGAGGGAGAGCUUCACCCAGCAGUGACUGACGGGAGGAAUCACAACAAGUGGAGAUGAGUGUCAGUGCUGCAGUCUGAACUGCUCUGAGAUCAGCUCCACUGUCAGACACAAAGGCAAGUCCACCAUCGUCCCUGUGUGUUCCUCUGGAUGUGACAGAGUAUCGUCAGUGUAUCUGGACUCUUUGCUGCUGCUCUGUCCUUCUACACCGUCUCUGCAGACACACUGAGACUCCUCCACUCCUUCUGCUCCACACUCAGCCACCUCCUCCACCUGCACCUGGACUUUAUUUUGGCUUUUUAUUAUUAUUCAUUCAGAUAUUCUGAACCCAAAGUGCCUCUGCAGCUUUGUUCUGUUUAUGACAACAUAAAUGCAGAUUAACACGUAUUUUAAUGGAUUUUCUGUUUUGCUCUCUGUUGCAUCUCCACCAUGUGGAAACAUGGUGAAUUAUAAUUAAUUCCACUUUAUAUUUCUAAUUAAUUUUGGAAGUUGAUGUGAGAAAGCAGCAUCCAGCCUGCAUGCAUAAAGUUACCGCUCUGAAGUUCUGUUUUCACCACCAAUGCCAGACUUUUCUCACAGUUUAACAGAUGAUUGUUUGUAACACACUUUGUAAAAUAGUCUCUUUUUCUAGUAUAUCCCAACAGAUUGUGUUAUUGCAGAAAACUGAACUAAAGAACUGAAGUCUGGUGAUAAUUAUCUGAGCGUUUGUCACUAUGAGCGACCUCUUUCACUUUCACGUCGUCAGAUGAUCCAAAGUUAAUGUAAAAAUAUUGAUUAGAGAAGCUUUCAGUUAAUGAAAAUCUCUUGAUUUUGGUGAAAAGACUCUUAAGCUUUGGUCACACACUGAACACCAGAACAUUUUAAUAACUUGUUAUAUAUUUUUUGUCACAUCACACCUGUUUCAGGCUCUUUACAUUGGCUCCUGUUUGUUUUAGGAUUGAUUUUAAGAUCUUAUUGAUUACUUUUAAGGCUCUUCAUGGCUCCAGGCUAUAUUUUAGACCUUGUAAUCCCUUAUGAACCUUCACGUAGUUUGAGAUCUUGGGCAGAGGGUCUCCUGUCUCAUCCUUAGUCAGGAUGGAAACUAAGGGGACAGAGCCAAUUUGCCUGAAGACAUUAGGUUGUCUGAGUCAGUUUCUCUUGUUGUGAAGCACUUUGUACUUUAUUUAUAGAGCACUUAUCAAAACAAAGUUUUAUUAUUAUUAUUAUUAUGUCUGUUUGUAAUCUGACAAGAAAACUCUUAAGCUUUGGUCACACACUGAACACCAGAACAUUUUAAUAACUUGUUAUAUAUUUUUAAAUCUUUUAGAUUAAUCAAUAAAACACAACAUAAAAUGACUAUAAAUAACUAUAAACUGUAGUGUCAUUAUUUCUGAUUAAGAUGAUGUACAUGUAUAUAUUUGUUCGGUUUACUCAUAUCGUGACAAUUUUGUAUUAUUGCAGAAAAAGCACAAAUCCUGAUAUUCAAAUCCCAUCUUACUUCUCAUGUGAUGUAAAUCUCCACAGUCCAGCUUCUAUAAAGAUAAAUGUCCUGCA